AAGGGAUUUUGUGCUUGAAAGUUUUACAAGUCUACCAACAAACAGCUGAUAAGCGAAUCUUCAAUAAAACAGAAAGGGGAUGACGGACUUGCAGGAGGCGACGCAGGUACAACACAGGCCGGAAGCUCGGGGGGCCAACCGUGACCUUGAGAAGUCCUGCAGGGGGACUGCACAACCAGUGACCAGCUUUUAGGACCUCACCCAGGGUACUGCGUUGCCUGUAGUCAUCGUGUCCUGAAGCUCAAUGGUCUUGGCUCUGACAAUUUCUGACUUCCCUUGCCUUCGAUGACGCUGACAGUGUUGAGGGGUGGUGGUCAGGUGGACUGCAGGCUGCUCCACAGAGAAAUUUGUCUGAUGUUGUCCUCGUGAAUAGCCUGGGAUUAUGGGGCUUGGGGAACAAGACCACAGAGACAAGCGCCAUUUUCACCAAGAGUGAUGCUACCGACAUGGUUUAUGGUCAGUGAUGAUGACCUUGACCACUUGGCUGAAGCAGUGUUUGUCAGUUUCUCCUCGGGAAGUUUCUCUCUUUCCCCCCUUCCACACUGUCUCUCCGGGGGGAACCUCCACGCAUGGUGCACACUUCAGGAACAGGGAGUUAUGCUCCCCCUCCUUCAGAUGGGGUAUCUACAAAUGUUAUUGGGAUUUUGCACUGG